GACGAACGCUGGCGGCGUGCUUAACACAUGCAAGUCGAACGGAAAGGCCCUGCUUUUGUGGGGUGCUCGAGUGGCGAACGGGUGAGUAACACGUGAGUAACCUGCCCUUGACUUUGGGAUAACUUCAGGAAACUGGGGCUAAUACCGGAUAGGAGCUCCUGCUGCAUGGUGGGGGUUGGAAAGUUUCGGCGGUUGGGGAUGGACUCGCGGCUUACCAGCUUGUUGGUGGGGUAGUGGCUUACCAAGGCUUUGACGGGUAGCCGGCCUGAGAGGGUGACCGGCCACAUGGGGCCUGAGAUACGGCCCAGACUCCAACGGGAGGCAGAAGUGGGAAAUAUUGCACAAUGGGAGGAAGCCUGAUGCAGCAACGCCGCGUGCGGGAUGACGGCCUUCGGGUUGUAAACCGCUUUCGCCUGUGACGAAGCGUUAGUGACGGUAAUGGGUAAAGAAGCACCGGCUAACUACGUG
rnacentral:rRNA from 1 species